rnacentral:lncRNA from 1 species
UUAUUUGGUCAGUUGCCGGAGGUAUUGUAGGUGCGAGGGUUGUGUUUGUCGGGAAUGGAGGUUGUGGAACAGCCGUAUUAGUUCGAAUGUAUUGGUUGAACCAAUCAUUCAUCACGCUAUAAAAAGCUUGCCUAGCCUCAUCAUUCGGAUUGCUAGCAAUAGGUUGAGAGUCCGCCGGCGCUGUCCCUUGCGCGGGAGCAGGCGCUACACUCUCAAGAUCAUCAGCUACCGCUCGGUCGGGAUCGGGAUCCAUUACUAUAAAUAAACACAUUUGCAAAUGUCAGAAAUCACCACACUAUCAAAUAAUCACAAAAUGGCAU